UAAGUUCUUUUUCUAUAAACAUUUGGAAAUAACACGCAGGACAGAAAUGGAUGAAAAUGGUAAGAAGAAACCAGCAUCAAAGCCAAGACCUCUAGCUUGCAUGGAGGUUUUACAUGUACUUAAGCAUCAUCUUACUGACUUAUAUCCUUCCAAGUGUGGUGUCAGUUACAACCUAAACAUUCUUUGUCCAGUUUGCUUAGUUGGUUCGAACCAGGGAAAGCACCAUUUUCAAAGUUUAGAUUAUUGCUUAAAGUACGAUUCCGUUCCAUGCGGAACAAAAGUAAUGUCAACAGCUGGAAUACGGUCCUUGUUUCAAGCAGAUUUGAGCUUCAGCAAGGCAAUCAGAAACUUCUACGCACUUCAGUCAUUAACCAUUGACUUGGGAACAGAACUAAUGCGAAAGUAUUUCAUGAAGAAGGGUCAACUGAGAGGCAAACACGAGGUUGGGAGAUUUUUGUUAUGGCAAAGACAAAAUGGCGUAUUAAGGGGUGUAGAUUAUGGAGACCAAGGAACAAAAAUCUUCACAGCCGAUGCCAACAUUGACACGUUUGAUAUUGCCCUUCUGAUGUCCUUGAUACAUCACUGCUUUAGUCUUAAAGGCGAUGCAUCCUGGGAGCAUCCACCUGAUGAUAAAGACACAUCCGAACUCGCUAAUCUGAGACGCAUUCAACUCUAUAAAGAAACUAAUCUAGACUGCAGCCACAGCAACCAAGUCCCAGAUGUGGAGUUUGAAAAGCAAUGGAAGGAACUUUCAACAAUCUUUGGCGGUGUCGGGGUUUCCACUGAAGUUGUUCAGAAAUACCGCAACCUGUGUACAGAACGGCCAAUGAGAGGGUUUGAGCAAGAAAAAGUUGAAGAAAUAAGAAAUUUCCAAGUUAUUCUAUCGGUUGUCGUUGAUGUCGGCACUGCAACAAUGAGAGAGUACUUUUUGGAGGUUGCUAAUCAAGGAAAGACAAUGCAGAACAAGGGCGCGAAAUUAAACAAGAAAGAUGUUGGACAAUAUCUAAUGACAGAGAACAGGAAAGGUAGCUUAAAAAAUGUAAAGAUUUUUCCAGAACAGAGCAAAAAAAUGUUUACACCAACUGCUGACAUUGAGACUUUCGAUAUUUCUAUUAUGUAUUUAAUAAUACGUAACUGCUGCUGUAGCAUUCCAUACUCAUUUUGGAAGAACCCAGAUAGACUGACUAACCUGGUGCACAUCCAUGACUACAGGAACACGAAGCUUGCACAUUCUCCCGACAGCAGAAUGUCAACUAAAGACUUUGAAAUCGAAUGGAAUAAAGUGAGGUCAAUGUUGCACGCUGCGGGGGCUUCUUUCAACGAUAUUGACAAAUAUAAGGCGCUUAAAUUUAUAAAUUAGAAAGUAUGAAUUAGCAAAAAAGCAUAACGUAGACAUCUAAUACACUCAACAACGUCAUCACAGCAGAUCUAUAUCUAGUCUUACUUUUCAAUAAGAUGCAUUGCAUAUACCUCAGAUGUCAAGAAAUAGCUGCCUAUUACAAUGUUGUAGUUGGUGGUAUUACCGUGGGAAAACUGAUCGGAGUUGCUGCAGAGGCGGCGCCAAGUUGAGCAAGGAACGUAGGCCCAAUAAGUGCAUCAUAUUGAUAACAGUUACGGUAUAUAUUUAGCCAAAGAACACCUGGUAAAAUUGUCAAUGAUGCUGUACGUAUUUUGUCAAGUUUCAAAAUUAGAUACCGUACAUACAGUAGUUAAGCAGUUUUUUUUAGCUGAAUUUAAAUUAUAGGCCUAGAUAUCAUAAGAAGUAAGGUUUUUACCACUAUAUUUGGCAAGGCGAGGGAUCGGUCAGAUGUUGGAAGCAAGUAUUGAGAUAAACAAUCCAGUAAAAUUACCUAAUAAAAAUAUUUAUUCAAUUCUGAAGGAAUCAAAAUCAGUAACAAUACAUCAGUCAGUAACCAGCAAUAUAGCAUAUAAGGUAAUCAGGAAACCUUUAUCAUAAAAUGUACAAGAUAUAUUAAAACCAUUAAAUAAAUGGCAUCACUGAAUACAGUAAAUCAUAAAUUGUAGCUUAUCAGAAUCAUAUUUAAGUUAAAACCAGAAUCAAAUGUGAAGUUAUAUAAUAUAAUUCUCAAUUAUAAAUCUAAUACAGUAAAAUAAGUUAAAAGCAUUGAAAUAUUCAGCAUAGAUCUAAAUGAGUGUUGUAAUUAAGGUAACAUCAAUGCAUAUUAUAAACCCAAACUUAUUCAGUAAAUUAUAGUAAUUCAGAGAGACUAAAUAAUGACAGUAACAUAUCAAAUCAUAGACCAUGAACUUACAACUUAUCUCCCCAACUACACAUCAAUUCAGUACAGCACAUCAGUUAAUACAGUAAAGUACGUCAGUUUACAGUAAUUACACCAAUAAUAUAUUCUGAAUCAAAUGGAAUAAGAUACAGUAAGCCGGUUUUUCACUAGGCGAAUUUAUUCUUGCGAAUCAAAGCCUCGGUUCGCUUCCUCAGCUCUGAUUGGUUGCGCAUUUUUUCGCUUCGCAAAAACUCCGAAGGAAAUGCGAAUGCGCAUGCGCACAGACCGACGCUUUCGGUUCGCGCGAAAAAAAUCGCCUAGUGGAAAACAGGAAAGAAUAUAUAAUUAGUAUUAACGCCCUUUAUGUUUACAAUUGGUGAUAGAAAAUUUACGCCCUCAAAAAUAAUAGUUUCUCAUCGAAACAAUAUUAAUGUGUAAAUAAUUAAAGUAACUAUCUAUUGUGCCGAUGUACAAUGAUUACUUUGAAAAUAAUUAUAAAAAACAGUUUUUUCUAACCAUCAUUUAAUAUUGAAAUUUAGUUUUUGCUAUUAUUUACGAUUAAAACUAUUUUUCCAUAAUGGUAAUUACUAUUUCCCUAAUUUGUAUGAAGUUAUUUGUUUAACUCAAAGAGUCACUGUAGAAUGGUCAAUCAUCAUCUUGGUUGGAUGUUGUAAACUUGGCAUACCACAAGGCAGUGUUUGGGGCCUCUUCUUUUUGUUUUUUAUAUUAACGACUUACCAGGAUGUGUUAAUUCAGAGGUUUUCCUUUUUGCUGAUGACACCAAACUAUAUCGAGAUGUAUCUGGAUUUAGGGAUCAUUUACAAUUGCAAAGCGAUCUUGAGAGUUUGAUGAAAUGGGUUACUCUGAUAGGCUCCGUAUAUUAAAUUUACCUUACAGAAGAUAUAGAGGCGAUAUGAGUGAGACAUUAAAAAUUCUAAAUAAUUUUUAUGAUAGUUCUGUCUUUAAUUUUUUUACAAUUAAAUGUAUCAGACAGAACUCGUGGACACUCUUUUAAGCUGCUAAAGCAACUUUCCCGUGCGGACUUAAGAAGGACCAUAUUCUAAAUCAGCUAUAACAUCUCGUUGUACGUGGAUGUUCAUCUUGCAUAUUGUUUUAAAUAAAAACAAAAAAUAAAUAUAAUACAAUUUUCACGUUUUUGGUAGACCCUCAGAGAACACGUGUUUUCAUUUUUUUUUAAUAGUAGUAUAAUGCAUUUAUGUCCAAGAAAUAUAAAGGGGACAUUUUGUGAGUCCACACCCACCUCAGGCCCACCAUGGUUGGGCCUGAGGUUCGAAAAUCUUAGGAAAUAGCUGUAGAUGAUCGGAAAUGACACUAUAAAAAUUCGUCAUCACAUCACCUUUAUAUAGUCAAGUGACGUUUUACAAGCGAUUUGCAGCAACCAAAUUAAUUAAUGUGAUGUACUUAAAACUUAGAAACAUUGUCUUUGAUGUAUUUAUUUUUGGCCUAUCUACUUCACAGC
rnacentral:misc_RNA from 1 species